rnacentral:rRNA from 1 species
GUGACCCCAGGAUGGGCGAGGCUACCCGC